AUUCAUUGGUACUUUAAAGACAUUGAAUUCGAGUUUAUACUGGGUUACAGUGUGCGUACAUGUGAAGUAAGGACACGUUCUAGAU